rnacentral:rRNA from 1 species
UAAUACGGAGGGUGCGAGCGUUAAUCGGAAUUACUGGGCGUAAAGCGCAUGCAGGUGGUUUGUUAAGUCAGAUGUGAAAGCCCGGGGCUCAACCUCGGAACUGCAUUUGAAACUGGCAAACUAGAGUACUGUAGAGGGGGGUAGAAUUUCAGGUGUAGCGGUGAAAUGCGUAGAGAUCUGAAGGAAUACCAGUGGCGAAGGCGGCCCCCUGGACAGAUACUGACACUCAGAUGCGAAAGCGUGGGGAGCAAACAGGAUUAGAUACCCUGGUAGUCCACGCCGUAAACGAUGUCUACUUGGAGGUUGUGGCCUUGAGCCGUGGCUUUCGGAGCUAACGCGUUAAGUAGACCGCCUGGGGAGUACGGUCGCAAGAUUAAAACUCAAAUGAAUUGACGGGGGCCCGCACAAGCGGUGGAGCAUGUGGUUUAAUUCGAUGCAACGCGAAGAACCUUACCUACUCUUGACAUCCAGAGAACUUAGCAGAGAUGCUUUGGUGCCUUCGGGAACUCUGAGACAGGUGCUGCAUGGCUGUCGUCAGCUCGUGUUGUGAAAUGUUGGGUUAAGUCCCGCAACGAGCGCAACCCUUAUCCUUGUUUGCCAGCACUUCGGGUGGGAACUCCAGGGAGACUGCCGGUGAUAAACCGGAGGAAGGUGGGGACGACGUCAAGUCAUCAUGGCCCUUACGAGUAGGGCUACACACGUGCUACAAUGGCGCAUACAGAGGGCAGCCAACUUGCGAGAGUGAGCGAAUCCCAAAAAGUGCGUCGUAGUCCGGAUUGGAGUCUGCAACUCGACUCCAUGAAGUCGGAAUCGCUAGUAAUCGUAGAUCAGAAUGCUACGGUGAAUACGUUCCCGGGCCUUGUACACACCGCCCGUCACACCAUGGGAGUGGGCUGCAAAAGAAGUGGGUAGUUUAACCUUUCGGGGAGGACGCUCACCACUUUGUGGUUCAUGACUGGGGUGAAGUCGUAACAAGGUAGCCG